rnacentral:rRNA from 1 species
AUUGAACGCUGGCGGCAGGCUUAACACAUGCAAGUCGAGCGGAGAGAGGUAGCUUGCUACUGAUCUUAGCGGCGGACGGGUGAGUAAUGCUUAGGAAUCUGCCUAUUAAUGGGGGACAACAUUUCGAAAGGAAUGCUAAUACCGCAUACGUCCUACGGGAGAAAGCAGGGGAUCUUCGGACCUUGCGCUAAUAGAUGAGCCUAAGUCGGAUUAGCUAGUUGGUGGGGUAAAGGCCUACCAAGGCGACGAUCUGUAGCGGGUCUGAGAGGAUGAUCCGCAACACUGGGACUGAGACACGGCCCAGACUCCUACGGGAGGCAGCAGUGGGGAAUAUUGGACAAUGGGCGGAAGUCUGAUCCAGCCAUGCCGCGUGUGUGAAGAAGGCCUUAUGGUUGUAAAGCACUUUAAGCGAGGAGGAGGCUACUUUAGUUAAUACCUAGAGAUAGUGGACGUUACUCGCAGAAUAAGCACCGGCUAACUCUGUGCCAGCCGCCGCGGUAA